AGAGUUUGAUCCUGGCUCAGCACUAACGCUGGCGGCGUGCCUAAUACAUGCAAGUUGAACGCUGAAGACUGGUACUUGUACUAGUUGGAUGAGUAGCGAACGGGUGAGUAACGCGUGGGUAACCUACCUCUUAGCGGGGGACAACUAUUGGAAACGAUAGCUAAUACCGCAUAACAAUCACUAACACAUGUUAGUGAUUUGAAAGCACCAAUUGGUGCACUAAGAGAUGGACCCGCGUUGUAUUAGCUAGUUGGUAGUGUAAUGGACUACCAAGGCGAUGAUACAUAGCCGACCUGAGAGGGUGAUCGGCCACAUUGGGACUGAGACACGGCCCAAACUCCUACGGGAGGCAGCAGUAGGGAAUCUUCGGCAAUGGACGCAAGUCUGACCGAGCAACGCCGCGUGAGUGAAGAAGGUUUUCGGAUCGUAAAACUCUGUUGUUAGAGAAGAACGUCAGUGAGAGUGGAAAGUUCACUGAGUGACGGUAUCUAACCAGAAAGGGACGGCUAACUACGUGCCAGCAGCCGCGGUAAUA
rnacentral:rRNA from 1 species